GUGGUGGUUGGAGGAAGAAACAGGUGGUGAGAAAAAAAGGAGGAGUAUGGUUAAGAUGAUUGUGUGCAUGGUGAUAAAUGCUGUUAGUGAUAAUGAAUGGUGGGAAGUAGAAAGUAAUAAGUAUGCGUGUGUGUUAAUUUGUUGUUUUUAAUUAUUAUUUGUUUGUUUUGGGAAAGCUGGUAGCUAGGCUAGGUAAUGGAAUGGUAGAACUGGUUAUUAGUGAGGACUUGAGAAAGUAGAACGAAGAUUGUGAUCUCAUUUCAUGAUGUGUGAAAUUUGGAAUGUGAGUGUGACAGUAGUGACUAUGAGGGAGGGAGAGAGGAGGUGAAAAAGUUUUGUAGCGUAGUAGCCAUGCUAUUGCUACCGAGCUAGCUGUUGCUUUCUCACCCUUUACUAUUACUACAGUCUAAUCUAAUCUCUCUGAAAAGUUGUGAUCUUUUAUUUGUCCUCAUGCUCAUGUUUGUGGUCACGCUCAUUUCUCACGGAUCCAAAUUCAAAUAUUACUUUCAUUGCAUGUCCUACCAUUUUACUAAAGUCAUCUACAUUUGUAGGGGAUUUUAAAUCUAGUGGUUAAGCAUGGCAAACUAAUUUUGUAUGGGAUGUAUAUAUAAGCACUCUGGUGUAAAGUUAGUGAGAAUUGAAAAAAAAGUAAAAGGUAAAGAAUGAAUGUUUAACUAUUGAGGUAAAGGAUGGCCGAUGAGAGGGAUAACUAUUGAGGU
rnacentral:lncRNA from 1 species